AUAGGUCUUUGAGUGCAGUGCGGGCCGGGAGGCUUCCGACCCCACAGCACCCCGCCGCUCUGGGCGCCCGUCCUCUGUGAGGUGACACUAAGCUGAAAACUGUACGGGGUGUUGUGACAAGGUACUGCAGCGAUUAUGGCAUGAUUGAUGAUUUGAUCUACUUCUCCAGUGAUGCUGUGACUAGCAGAGUGCUUCUGAAUGUUGGACAGGAAGUGAUUGCAGUUGUGGAAGAAAAUAAAGUGUCCAAUGGACUGAAAGCAAUCAGGGUAGAAGCCAUCUCUGAUAAGUGGGAAGACGACAGCAGAAACCAUGGGAGUCCCUCAGACUGCAGCCCCCGAGUGUUGAUUGGCUGUGUGACUUCCCUGGUGGAGGGCGCAGGCUGUAUCAAUCAGACCACCUACUUCUCUCUGGAGAGUGUGUGCGAAGGCUUCAAGCCCUGCAAGGGAGACUGGGUGGAGGCUGAGUACCGGAUCCG
rnacentral:sRNA from 1 species